AUUGAACGCUGGCGGCAGGCCUAACACAUGCAAGCCGGACGGUAGCACAGAGGAGCUUGCUCCUCGGGUGACGAGUGGCGGACGGGUGAGUAAUGUCUGGGGAUCUGCCCGAUAGAGGGGGAUAACCACUGGAAACGGCGGCUAAUACCGCAUAACGUCGCAAGACCAAAGAGGGAGACCUUCGGGCCUCCCACUAUCGGAUGAACCCAGAUGGGAUUAGCUAGUAGGCGGGGUAAUGGCCCACCUAGGCGACGAUCCCUAGCUGGUCUGAGAGGAUGACCAGCCACACUGGAACUGAGACACGGUCCAGACUCCUACGGGAGGCAGCAGUGGGGAAUAUUGCACAAUGGGCGCAAGCCUGAUGCAGCCAUGCCGCGUGUAUGAAGAAGGCCUUCGGGUUGUAAAGUACUUUCAGCGGGGAGGAAGGCGAUAAGGUUAAUAACCUUGUCGAUUGACGUUACCCGCAGAAGAAGCACCGGCUAACUCCGUGCCAGCCGCCGCAGUAA
rnacentral:rRNA from 1 species